CAGUCGAACGGACUUACAUUGAAGCCUAGCGAUAUGUAAGUUAGUGGCGGACGGGUGAGUAACGCGUGGGUAACCUGCCUUGUACUGGGGGACAACAGUUGGAAACGACUGCUAAUACCGCAUAAGCGCACAGCUUCGCAUGAAGCAGUGUGAAAAACUCCGGUGGUACAAGAUGGACCCGCGUCUGAUUAGCUGGUUGGUGAGGUAACGGCCCACCAAGGCGACGAUCAGUAGCCGGCCUGAGAGGGUGAACGGCCACAUUGGGACUGAGACGCGGCCCAAACUCCUACGGGAGGCAGCAGUGGGGAAUAUUGCACAAUGGGGGAAACCCUGAUGCAGCAACGCCGCGUGAGUGAAGAAGUAUUUCGGUAUGUAAAGCUCUAUCAGCAGGAAAGAAAAUGACGGUACCUGACUAAGAAGCCCCGGCUAACUACGUGCCAGCAGCCGCGGUAAUACGUAGGGGGCAAGCGUUAUCCGGAUUUACUGGGUGUAAAGGGAGCGUAGACGGUUUUGCAAGUCUGAAGUGAAAGCCCGGGGCUUAACCCCGGGACUGCUUUGGAAACUGUAGAACUAGAGUGCAGGAGAGGUAAGUGGAAUUCCUAGUGUAGCGGUGAAAUGCGUAGAUAUUAGGAGGAACACCAGUGGCGAAGGCGGCUUACUGGACUGUAACUGACGUUGAGGCUCGAAAGCGUGGGGAGCAAACAGGAUUAGAUACCCUGGUAGUCCACGCCGUANACGAUGAUUACUAGGUGUUGGUGGGNAUGACCCA
rnacentral:rRNA from 1 species